rnacentral:rRNA from 1 species
AACAUAGCCAUUAGACAUUAUUAAAUGGUUAAACCUGCCCAAUGUGAAACCAUGAAUGGCCGCGGUACUCUGACCGUGCUAAGGUAGCGUAAUCAGUUGGUCUUUAAAUGAGGCCAGGAAUGAAUGGAUAAACCGGGUUUAGCUGUCUCCUAAUUAAUAUGUUGAAUUUACUUUUCAGGUGAAAAAGCUUGAAUUUUGUAAAGGGACGAGAAGACCCUUAGAAUUUUUUUUAAAGAAUUUAAUACUUUCUAUAAUUUUGUUGGGGCGACAAAGAAAUAGUUUAAAACUUUCUUUUUUUAACAAGCCGACUAUAUUAAGGAAGAACAAAUUACCUGAGGGAUAACAGCAUAAUUCUAAAAUUGAGUUUGUGACCUCGAUGUUGGACUAGGAAACUAUUGGGCUAGCCGCUCACUAUGUUAGGUUCUGUUCGAACUUGUAUUCCU